CGAGUAACCUGCCCUUAACUCUGGGAUAAGCCUGGGAAACUGGGUCUAAUACCGGAUAUGACUCCUCAUCGCAUGGGUGGGGGGUGGAAAGCUUUAUUGUGGUUUUGGAUGGACUCGCGGCCUAUCAGCUUGUUGGUGAGGUAAUGGCUCACCAAGGCGACGACGGGUAGCCGGCCUGAGAGGGCGGCCGGCCACACUGGGACUGAGAUACCGGCCCAGACUCCGUACGGGGAGGCAG
rnacentral:rRNA from 1 species